GCCCUGGAGAUGCAGCCGGGAGGAAGAGCUGGGCCCGGAGGGGGCUCUCCAGGCCCAGCUCUCGCCCCACCGCGACCUCCCAGGCCCAAGUCCCUGCCUACCUCCCAGCAGCCCGAGUGCGAUCCUGUUCCUCCCUCACGGUGGCCUGUUGAGGCAGGGGGUCACGCUGACCUCUGUCCGCGUGGGAGGGGCCGGUGUGAGGCAAGGGCUCACACUGACCUCUCUCAGCGUGGGAGGGGCCGGUGUGAGGCAAGGGGCUCACGCUGACCUCUCUCAGCGUGGGAGGGGCCGGUGUGAGGCAAGGGCUCAGGCUGACCUCUCUCAGCGUGGGAGGGGCCGGUGUGAGGCAAGGGGCUCACGCUGACCUCUGUCCGCGUGGGAGGGGCCGGUGUGAGGCGAGGGGCUCGGGCUGACCUCUCUCAGCGUGGGAGGGGCCGGUGUGAGGCAAGGGCUCAGGCUGACCUCUCUCAGCGUGGGAGGGGCCGGUGUGAGGCAAGGGGCUCACGCUGACCUCUGUCCGCGUGGGAGGGGCCGGUGUGAGGCGAGGGGCUCGGGCUGACCUCUCUCAGCGUGGGAGGGGCCGGUGUGAGGCAAGGGCUCAGGCUGACCUCUCUCAGCGUGGGAGGGGCCGGUGUGAGGCAAGGGGCUCACGCUGACCUCUGUCCGCGUGGGAGGGGCCGGUGUGAGGCAAGGGCUCACACUGACCUCUCUCAGCGUGGGAGGGGCCGGUGUGAGGCGAGGGGCUCGGGCUGACCUCUCUCAGCGUGGGAGGGGCCGGGGUGAGGCAAAGGGCUCACACUGACCUCUCUCAGCGUGGGAGGGGCCGGUGUGAGGCAAGGGGCUCACGCUGACCUCUCUCAGCGUGGGAGGGGCCGGUGUGAGGCAAGGGCUCAGGCUGACCUCUCUCAGCGUGGGAGGGGCCGGUGUGAGGCAAGGGGCUCACGCUGACCUCUGUCCGCGUGGGAGGGGCCGGUGUGAGGCGAGGGGCUCGGGCUGACCUCUCUCAGCGUGGGAGGGGCCGGUGUGAGGCAAGGGCUCAGGCUGACCUCUCUCAGCGUGGGAGGGGCCGGUGUGAGGCAAGGGGCUCACGCUGACCUCUGUCCGCGUGGGAGGGGCCGGUGUGAGGCAAGGGCUCACACUGACCUCUCUCAGCGUGGGAGGGGCCGGUGUGAGGCGAGGGGCUCGGGCUGACCUCUCUCAGCGUGGGAGGGGCCGGUGUGAGGCAAGGGCUCAGGCUGACCUCUCUCAGCGUGGGAGGGGCCGGUGUGAGGCAAGGGGCUCACGCUGACCUCUGUCCGCGUGGGAGGGGCCGGUGUGAGGCGAGGGGCUCGGGCUGACCUCUCUCAGCGUGGGAGGGGCCGGUGUGAGGCAAGGGCUCAGGCUGACCUCUCUCAGCGUGGGAGGGGCCGGUGUGAGACAAGGGGCUCACACUGACCUCUCUCAGCGUGGGAGGGGCCGGGGUGAGGCAAGGGGCUCGGGCUGACCUCUCUCAGCGUGGGAGGGGCCGGUGUGAGACAAGGGCUCAGGCUGACCUCUCUCAGCGUGGGAGGGGCCAGUGUGAGGCAAGGGCUCAGGCUGACCUCUCUCAGCGUGGGAGGGGCCGGUGUGAGGCAAGGGCUCAGGCUGACCUCUCGCAGCGUGGGAGGGGCCGGUGUGAGGCAAGGGGCUCACGCUGACCUCUGUCCACGUGGGAGGGGCUGGGGUGAGGCAAGGGCUCACACUGACCUCUCUCAGCGUGGGAGGGGCCGGUGUGAGGCAAGGGGCUCACGCUGACCUCUGUCCGUGUGGGAGGGGCCGGUGUGAGGCAAGGGCUCACACUGACCUCUCUCAGCGUGGGAGGGGCCGGUGUGAGGCAAGGGGCUCACGCUGACCUCUGUCCACGUGGGAGGGGCCGGGGUGAGGCAAGGGCUCACACUGACCUCUCUCAGCGUGGGAGGGGCCGGUGUGAGGCAAGGGGCUCACGCUGACCUCUGUCCGCGUGGGAGGGGCCGGUGUGAGGCAAGGGCUCACACUGACCUCUCUCAGCGUGGGAGGAGCCAGUGUGAGACAGGGGCUCACGCCUCUGGGCAGGGUGCCAGAGGCAUGAGUUGGGCAUCAACAGGCCAUCGUGAGGGAGGAGCUGGGCCGUACGCGGGCUGCUGGGA
rnacentral:lncRNA from 1 species